rnacentral:tRNA from 2 species
GGCUCGGUGAUGGAAUUUGGCAGACAUAGCGGACUUAAAAUCCGCUGCUGGGUGACUGGCGUGCCGGUUCGAGUCCGGCCCGAGCCA